rnacentral:lncRNA from 10 species
UUCAGAUAAGAAAGCUGUCAUUCUAAUUGUUGUUCCACUAUAGGCAUUCCUGUAAACUUAUAUUCAUGAAGAAAGUCAGAGUACUUGUUGCAGAUGCAAUGCUAGGUCUUCAGCCAUGUGCUAUAGAAACAGAAGGUGACAAAUAUAACCAAGGAUUGGGAGGAGAAAAAGAAGAAAGCCAAUUUGGGAAAUGAGACUGUAAAGUUUAUAAUGCUACUGAUUUUCAAACAUUUUCAGAAGCAAUGGAAAGAAGAAUGCGAAGAAAAUGAGUUUAUUUUCCAAAAUGCUUUUUUUGUUAUUGUUUUGCAAUUUCCCUUUGUUAACAUCAUAUAGGUUAUGGGGGUUUCUGUUUUGAAAAAAAUAAAUACUGCACCGUGUGUGGAUUGCUACUCAGCACUCAGCAAUAAACAAGUCAAUGAAUGCUCUAGGUUUUAAUGAAUUCGGUUUUACUUCUUUACAUCUACUUAUUAGCUUCUCUACCUAAGAUGUGUACACG